AUGAGGAAAUUCAACAUCAGGAAGGUGCUGGACGGCCUGACCGCGGGCUCGUCCUCGGCCUCGCAGCAGCAGCAGCAACAGCAGCAGCAACACCCGCCGGGGGCCCGGGAGCCCGAGAUCCAGGAGACGCUUCAGUCUGAGCACUUCCAGCUCUGCAAGACCGUUCGCCAUGGAUUCCCCUAUCAGCCCUCAGCCCUGGCCUUUGAUCCUGUACAGAAGAUCCUGGCAGUGGGAACUCAGACCGGUGCUUUAAGACUCUUUGGUCGUCCAGGAGUGGAAUGCUACUGUCAGCACGACAGUGGAGCAGCAGUGAUCCAACUCCAGUUCCUGACUAAUGAGGGAGCCCUUGUGAGUGCCUUGGCUGAUGACACCUUACACUUGUGGAAUUUACGUCAGAAAAGGCCUGCAAUACUACAUUCACUUAAAUUUUGCCGAGAAAGGGUUACAUUUUGCCAUCUGCCUUUCCAGAGUAAGUGGCUCUAUGUGGGCACCGAACGAGGAAAUAUACAUAUUGUCAACGUGGAGUCCUUCACCCUCUCAGGCUAUGUCAUUAUGUGGAAUAAAGCCAUUGAACUGUCAUCUAAAUCUCACCCAGGACCUGUUGUCCAUAUAAGUGAUAAUCCCAUGGAUGAGGGGAAGCUUUUGAUUGGCUUUGAAUCUGGAACAGUAGUGUUAUGGGACCUCAAGUCAAAGAAAGCUGACUACAGAUACACAUAUGACGAGGCUAUUCACUCUGUGGCUUGGCAUCAUGAAGGAAAACAAUUUAUUUGCAGUCAUUCAGAUGGUACUUUGACCAUAUGGAAUGUGAGGUCUCCUACUAAGCCUGUACAGACAAUCACACCUCAUGGAAAACAGUUAAAGGAUGGGAAGAAGCCCGAGCCCUGCAAACCUAUCCUCAAGGUGGAAUUCAAGACAACUAGAUCUGGGGAACCUUUUAUUAUUUUAUCAGGAGGUUUGUCAUAUGAUACUGUAGGAAGAAGACCUUGCUUAACAGUGAUGCAUGGGAAAAGUACUGCUGUGCUAGAAAUGGACUAUUCUAUUGUUGAUUUCUUAACACUCUGUGAAACACCAUACCCAAAUGAUUUUCAAGAACCGUAUGCUGUGGUGGUUCUUCUAGAAAAGGAUUUAGUACUUAUAGACCUUGCACAAAAUGGAUACCCUAUAUUUGAAAAUCCUUAUCCUUUGAGUCUACAUGAGUCCCCUGUUACAUGUUGUGAGUAUUUUGCUGAUUGUCCCGUGGACCUUAUUCCUGCACUUUAUUCAGUUGGAGUUAGACAGAAACGUCAAGGUUACAGCAAAAAGGAAUGGCCCAUCAAUGGAGGUAACUGGGGCUUGGGUGCUCAAAGUUACCCAGAAAUAAUUAUUACAGGGCAUGCUGACGGGUCAGUUAAAUUCUGGGAUGCUUCUGCAAUAACUUUACAAGUAUUAUAUAAAUUAAAAACAUCGAAAGUAUUUGAAAAGUCAAGGACUAAAGAUGACAGAGCAAACACGGACAUUGUAGAUGAAGAUCCCUAUGCCAUUCAGAUCAUCUCCUGGUGCCCAGAAAGCAGGAUGCUGUGCAUAGCUGGAGUGUCGGCUCAUGUCAUCAUCUACCGAUUCAGCAAGCAGGAAAUGACGACAGAAGUUAUCCCGAUGCUUGAAGUUCGACUGUUAUAUGAGAUAAAUGAUGUGGAAACUCCAGAGGGUGAGCAGCCACCACUUUUGUCCACCCCUGUGGGCAGUUCCAACCCUCAGUCCCUUCCUCCUCAGUCUCAUCCAUCUACCAGUAGCAGCUCAUCUGAUGGCCUUCGUGAUAAUGUACCUUGUUUAAAAGUUAAAAACUCACCACUUAAACAGUCUCCAGGUUAUCAGACAGAGCUGGUUAUUCAGUUGGUAUGGGUGGGCGGAGAACCUCCACAGCAGAUCACCAGCCUGGCACUCAAUUCUUCCUAUGGACUGGUGGUUUUUGGCAACUGUAAUGGCAUUGCAAUGGUUGACUACCUCCAGAAAGCAGUACUGCUCAACCUGGGCACUGUUGAAUUAUACGGCUCAAAUGAUCCUUAUCGGAGAGAACCCCGAUCACCUCGUAAAUCUCGACAACCCUCAGGAGCGGGCCUGUGUGAUAUUACUGAGGGCACGGUUGUCCCAGAGGAUCGCUGCAAAUCUCCAACUUCUGGUUCUUCAUCCCCACACAAUUCAGAUGGUGAACAAAGAUCGAGUAACUUUAUAGAAAAGGUGAAGACCCAAAGCAGAAAGCUUUCCAAGAUGGUAGCCAGUGACAUAGCAAAGAUGUCAAGAAAGUUAAGCUUGCCAACUGACCUAAAGCCUGAUUUAGACAUGAAAGAUAAUUCCUUCAGCAGAUCAAGGAGUUCAAGUGUAACCAGCAUUGACAAGGAGUCCCGGGAAGCUAUCUCUGCUCUUCAUUUCUGUGAAACUUUUACUCGAAAGACAGACUCCUCUCCUUCCCCAUGUCUGUGGGUAGGAACUACGCUGGGCACAGUGCUUGUCAUCACGCUCAACCUUCCCCCAGGGGCAGAACAGAGACUCCUGCAGCCAGUGAUUGUGUCUCCGAGUGGUACUAUAUUGAGGUUAAAAGGCGCAGUUUUGAGAAUGGCAUUUCUGGAUGCCACAGGCUGCUUAAUGCCACCUGCAUACGAACCCUGGAAAGAACACAAUGUUCCAGAAGAAAAAGAUGAGAAGGAGAAGUUGAAAAAGCGGCGGCCUGUCUCAGUGUCACCCUCCUCUUCUCAGGAAAUUAGCGAAAACCAGUACGCAGUGAUAUGUUCAGAAAAGCAAGCGAAAGUUAUCUCACUGCCAACCCAAAACUGUGCUUAUAAGCAAAACAUCACUGAGACCUCGUUUGUGCUUCGUGGAGAUGUUGUUGCUCUGAGUAACAGUAUCUGUCUGGCCUGUUUCUGUGCCAAUGGCCAUAUUAUGACUUUCAGUUUACCAAGCUUAAGACCUUUGUUGGAUGUUUAUUACCUGCCCCUGACCAAUAUGCGCAUAGCCAGAACAUUCUGCUUCACCAACAAUGGACAAGCAUUAUAUCUGGUUUCACCUACAGAAAUCCAGAGACUUACAUACAGUCAGGAGACCUGUGAAAAUCUUCAGGAGAUGCUGGGUGAACUCUUCACUCCUGUAGAGACACCAGAAGCACCAAACAGGGGCUUCUUUAAAGGCUUAUUCGGAGGUGGUGCCCAGUCUCUGGAUAGAGAAGAGCUAUUUGGAGAGUCAUCUUCGGGGAAGGCCUCAAGGAGCCUUGCACAGCACAUCCCAGGUCCUGGGGGAAUUGAAGGUGUGAAAGGAGCAGCUUCCGGAGUUGUCGGGGAAUUAGCACGUGCCAGGUUGGCCCUGGAUGAAAGAGGGCAGAAGCUUAGUGAUUUGGAAGAGAGAACUGCAGCUAUGCUAUCCAGUGCAGAUUCAUUCUCCAAACAUGCUCAUGAGAUGAUGCUGAAAUACAAAGAUAAGAAGUGGUACCAGUUCUGACGGCCAGAUCCAGUAAGUCCAGCUUCAGCGAGAAAGGAAAUCUCCUUUUUGAUUUCAUUGGUUUAUUUAGGAGAGUUAACAUGAAAAGGAUGCUCAUCACUGACAACUGUUCUUUCCUAGCACAAUCAUGCACUGUUUUACCUCAGUCACAUGGCUUUACUUAAGAGGAGCUGACACACACAAGCUGGAAGAUGUGGUGUGUGCUGACUGGGAGUUGACAAAGGGGAACCUAACAGGUCACAUGUGACAGAUGAAGAAACAAAGGAAUGUUGAAACGUGGCAGGGACUAGUCCUUGGAUCAUUCCUCUAUUUAAACUUUCAUAUGCCAAAAGAGUCUGUGCUGUUGUAUCUGCCAUCAGUGUUUGAUCUGACUGGGGGGAGAGGCAAUAAGUCAGAAAUUCCCAAGCUGAACAAGGGUCCUUUGUGUCACUGGACUGGAUUAUGAGCAGCUGUCGUGGACCCUCUCUUAAACUGAUUGGUCAUCAGUAUCCUUAGUGGGAAAGAAACAAACUGUUUGUUACCAUACUUUAGACUAAGCUGAAGGGUGGGCUUUAAAUAAUCACAGCAUACACACAGUUGACUUGUGUGUGCACUACCCUUGAUUUGUUAUUAUGUACUUGUGUUCAGUUCAUAUUGUCAAAAGCGAAACUGCGAUACAUCACUUUUCAUUGAAAAGAAAAGUGUAGAGCAUGACUGAGUUGCUCAUCUUCUGGAAGUUUCCAUGUAGUAGCCAAACAGUGUGGAAAGUGAGAAAAGCCUCCAUUGUGGUGAGGAGAAUACUUCAUUGUCUUUUGUCCCGGUUCUCAUUGAUUCAGAUAAAGGUAACUGACUAAAAUGGUUACUGUUUAAAUUUGUAGAAAAGUUGAAAUUGGCUAAGUUUUUAAUUUUGCUUGAAUUUUUAUAAAAUGUUUAACCAAAUGUACCUUUGCAUUAUUUAAUUAAAAUUGCUAAAACAACAAUGUUUCCUUAUUUCAGUGAAAUACUCAGCUCCCUUUUUAAAAUGUCCUUUAUUUGCUGACAUUUCCAAUACACUCAGGAGAUGAGCCAGUACAAUCUUAGUGCACAUGCUGUCGCAUGGAAACUACAAGCAUUUUUUGUUAGUACUACAUAAGAGUCUAGUCAGAUGACCUACAAAAUAUUUUCUGUAGAAAUAUUCUAUAAAUCUGUACAUAUUCUUUCAAGAUAUUAAAAGCAAAAAGGAAAGAAAAAAUAUGUACACUUGGGUAACUAAAUUAUUUCUGUAAUAGAGAUUAAUUAAUGCCCAUUGGACAAUGAGUGAUUGGUUCCUUAGUAGCAUUACAGAGGGAGAGAAAGCACCCCAGGUAUCAGGAAGUAAGUAGGCCAGUCUAAGAGUAAGCACUGUAAAAGCUUCACAGAGGGAGUGACCUGGAAGCAUUCAAAUUAAUGUUAAUGAAAUUUAAAUAUUGUCUUCUGUGAAAAACUUUUUAGUAGUUUUCCUUUUUCAUUAAGAGAUAAACAGAGCACAAAUUGACAGAAGACGUGGUUGUUUUCUCAUUCGUUCCAUGUGGCAAGGACCUUCAGGUCUGCAGAGCACCUUCCCUUCUUUACACACUCUGUUAUGUACCUUCUCUUUCCUCGUUCCAUUAAUAAAGCUUUUGUUUACAUUUUACAAUGUGCACUACUUGAUAUAAACGUUUACAUCAAAAUUUAAGUAGCAUGGGGUAGAGACUAAAUAUAUGUGAUAAAGAUCAUUGAUCAAGGCAAAAAUGUUUUAAAACCACUAUCAUUUUCAAAAGUUUUGAAUCUGUAGAAAGUGGAUAACAUUUCUGUUUCACUUCAGCUCUCUGGUGAACAUUCAGCAAUUUACAAAUUGCUUAAUUUGCAUUAUAUAUUGUCCUUAAGCCCAUGUUCCAUGAUACCUCAUAUGAAAGUUUAGGUCCUUUUUAAAGGUAUAGUUUUAUGAAUAUCAAUAAAGUCAAGAGUUACAGAGUUUUCAAAUGUUGAGAAGUAAUGACUAAAUUGAUAUACUGGUUGACACCGCAACCAUGUGGAAGGAUGUAUGAGCAUCAGCUUUUUAAUUUGCUGUUAUUUGUAUGUCAAGUUCAUUUUUAUAGUCACUUUUUCCUGUUGUAUAUAAAAUGAAUCAAACUUGUAAUUACGUACUAAUAGAGACGUAGAUGUAUUUACCUGAGAUGGAUUUUAUAAGAACUUCUUAAUUUAUAAUUUUAAAUUAUUUGAUUCAUUUUUAAAUAAAUCUACAUAUUGUGCACAGUGAGCUAGAGGCUAGGAUAGAAAGUAUAAAAAUAUUUUUGAAUAUAGAAAAUAAGUUUCUCAGAGUUAUGCUUGAUUCUGUCUGUAAAUAGGAAACAGUCUAUUAUAACUAACCCAGGGUAUUUAAGGUGAGCUAAGAAAUAAUUUUUUUUUUCUCUCUCUCUCUCUCUCUCUCUCUCUCUCUCUCUCUCUCUCUCUUUUCUGUCUUUCUCUUUUGAUGAAAAAGGCAGUAGUCACCAGCAAGCAAAAAUUUCAGGAAAGCUAACCAAAAAGAAAAAAUAGUCAAAAUAGAAAAUAUCAGAAAAUUAACAAAGAAUUCAUAAAUUUGUGCGUGUAUAUUUUCUCUCAACACUGGUCACAUCUGUCCUUGAUUCUGAAGUUAAAGUAUUCCUUGAUUAGCUGUUUGUCAACAGGAAGUGAUUUCCCUUUGUGUACCCCACCUAUCUAGUUCAUUUGAGUUUGCAAACUAAAAUCUGUGUAUAUUGUCUUAGAAUGUUAUUUGAAAUCUUAUAUUCUGUCAAAAUCUAUAUAUACAUUUGAAAUAUUGCAUCAUCUUAAUACUUGUUUGCAUUUGAAUCAUACUGUGUUUCUAAAAUAUUGGUUGUAAAUUCAGAAGAGCCUUUGUUAAUGUCUUAAUUUGGGGGUUUUAUGGAGAACAACACUGCUGCGUCUACCACUGUGCGCAGGUGGAUUUCCGUUUCAUCGAGAAUCCUACUUCCAGGAGCUUCUCCUUUACUUAGAACUUGUCACUUGUUGGUUCUCUCGAAGCUAAGAUCAAGUAUAUGUGAGUGUUUGAAACAAGUCUGAAAGUGUUACCUACUUUUAGGUUGAGGGGGAUGCUGGGAGAUGGCUGCGGAACUGAAGACUGUGGACGACACCACGGAGUUCCAUGUUUCACCCUGAGUUUUGUAUUCACACCAUCUGUGUUUUGCUUAAGGCAUUUCGCAUGCAACAUUAGUAAAGCUAUAUCCAAAGCGUUAGUUCUCCUGGAUUGAAAUUACGCCCGAUGCUCUUCCGAUGUGAAGCUGAGUUCACGUGAAGCUGCUGCCCACAGCUCGUGAACUGCUCUCGUCACUCUGCCCUGCUUUCUGUACAGCCUGCCUGUACGGGAACGGCCUGCUCUGCCCAGUGAGCGCACUCCUCACUGCCUGCGAUGCUGCCAUCUGGGGACAAAAACAAUUGUUAAAGCUCCAAAAAAGGGAAAGUAGCUUACCUUCUUAGCUGAACUACAUGGUCUCAAUUCCUUCCCAAUUAACAGAUUUUGUACCAUCGCUUUCCUAGUACCGUCUUGAAAUUAUUAGGCACAGUUAAUUUAUAAAUUGAGAAGUCAUGCAGAGCUUCUAUAAAUGCUCUUUAUAUUCUCUUCAGAAAAACCACGAAUGUCAGAACUGCCAGUAUUUUGCAAUGAGACUCAGUUUAAAACUAUAUAUAAAACAUGUAAAUAAAUCUUCAUUUAUUGUAGGUCAUUUGACUCAGGCAUUUAAAAUACAGAUUAAUCGCAAUGGAAUUCUCUUCUUUUGAGUUCGGUGUGUUUGUUUUAAUAUUACCAUUUGUUUUUGUUAUCUAAACUUUGCUUCCAUUGAAGGCAGUGUAAUGAGUUUCAAACUCAACAUAAAAAGUUGAUGCGAAGAUGAGAAAUGGUGGUUUGAUUUCUUUCCGUUUCUUUGUAAAUAAACAGUGCUGUGAUACUUUAGGCGUGACCUCUGCAACAUGGUAGGGAGAAUCAGGAAAAAAAUCUUUCUAGUUACACUGCUGGUUCAUUGUACGUGUGUUGCCAAAAGACAACUGUAAAAAGACCACGAUUUCCUUUUCCCAGCCUUGUGUACACAAGGGCAUGCUUGGUUAGAGCGCUAGCCUGUGUGUACCUUUGCCCCACACUGCAGUGUUCAGUUGAUACACUUUCUCUCCUUUAUUUUUGAUCAAUCCCAGUAACUAUCUCAAGAUAAUUACUGGAAUAUGCUUUUGAAAUGUUUUUUUAAAAAAAAAAAUAUGUGCACUGUUUUAUUUCAGAAAGCACUAUUGCAAACACUAAAAAUGUUCAAACUUUGUAGUUGUUUUGCAUUCCUAUAAUUUAUCAGUAAAAAAAAAACUGUCAUCACAGCGAAAGGUUUAAAAUUAGGUAAUGAAAUAUUUUUGUAAAUAAAUACCAUAAACUGGUAUUUUUUUUAAAUGUAUUAUAAAUUAAUGUUUCUGGGAAAUGUUGAUAUAUAUGUACGUGAAUGUCUCUGCUGAAGGGCUCCUACUGGGCAAAAUAAAAUACUCUUAUCUCUC